rnacentral:rRNA from 1 species
UACGGGGGGGGCAAGCGUUGUUCGGAAUUACUGGGCGUAAAGGGCUCGUAGGCGGCCAACUAAGUCAGACGUGAAAUCCCUCGGCUUAACCGGGGAACUGCGUCCGAUACUGGAUGGCUUGAGUUUGGGAGAGGGAUGCGGAAUUCCAGGUGUAGCGGUGAAAUGCGUAGAUAUCUGGAGGAACACCGGUGGCGAAGGCGGCAUCCUGGACCAACACUGACGCUGAGGAGCGAAAGCCAGGGGAGCAAACGGG